rnacentral:rRNA from 1 species
CUCGUAGGCGGUUCGUCGCGUCCGGUGUGAAAGUCCAUCGCUUAACGGUGGAUCCGCGCCGGGUACGGGCGGGCUUGAGUGCGGUAGGGGAGACUGGAAUUCCCGGUGUAACGGUGGAAUGUGUAGAUAUCGGGAAGAACACCAAUGGCGGAGGCAGGUCUCUGGGCCGUCACUGACGCUGAGGAGCGAAAGCGUGGGGAGCGAACA